GGGGCUUGGUAUAUAGUCCUUGCUGGUUAGGCAUGAUGCCCUGUGGCCCAACAUGCUAUGGGAUUUCUUCUUUAGCCUAACAGUCUGGAGAGCAUGGUGAUGAGGGCCAAGUAUGAAUUCGGGAUCUUUGGUGCUAACAUUCAGGCCUAUCCGAGUAGCUCCUUCAUGUGAAAGGUAUCUGCACUCGUGCUCCAAAUGUGAUGGCCUGCAUUAGGUGGCUAGUUGGAGAUAGGCAAAUAAUGGACUUGGUUCAAGACCUGUGGAUUGCUGAUCUCUUAUUGAGUCAGUGGCCGACUUUAUGAGUAUAGAGGUUGGAGAGUUGAUAUAGGUAUGUGACUUAUUUCAGCCCGAAGGGAGGGGUUGGAGUAUCGAGUUGGUGACCUGCCUGUUUGAAGACCAACUAGCAGAGAUGAUGUUGGCCCAAGUGAUUCCUAUUCAGGGGUUCAGGAUGUUAGGGUUUGGAGAUCAUCCUAUACUCCAAGGAUGGUAGCUAGAGACCUCUAUGACCUAUAUAGGAAGGAGCAGGCUAGGAGAUU
rnacentral:lncRNA from 1 species